AUGAACGCUGGCGGCGUGCCUAAUCCAUGCAAGUCGAGCGCACGGACGAGAAGCUUGCUUCUCUGAUGUUAGCGGCGGACGGGUGAGUAACACGUGGAUAACCUACCUAUAAGACUGGGAUAACUUCGGGAAACCGUAGCUAAUACCGGAUAAUAUUUUGAACCGCAUGGUUCAAAAGUGAAAGACGGUCUUGCUGUCACUUAUAGCUGGAUCCGCGCUGCAUUAGCUAGUUGGUAAGGUAACGGCUUACCAAGGCAACGAUGCAUAGCCGACCUGAGAGGGUGAUCGGCCACACUGGAACUGAGACACGGUCCAGACUCCUACGGGAGGCAGCAGUAGGGAAUCUUCCGCAAUGGGCGAAAGCCUGACGGAGCAACGCCGCGUGAGUGAUGAAGGUCUUCGGAUCGUAAAACUCUGUUAUUAGGGAAGAACAUAUGUGUAAGUAACUGUGCACAUCUUGACGGUACCUAAUCAGAAAGCCACGGCUAACUACGUG
rnacentral:rRNA from 1 species